GACGAACGCUGGCGGCGUGCUUAACACAUGCAAGUCGAGCGAGAAGACGUAGCAAUACGUUUGUAAAGCGGCGAACGGGUGAGGAAUACAUGGGUAACCUACCCUCGAGUGGGGAAUAACUAGCCGAAAGGUUAGCUAAUACCGCGUACGCUUCUUGGACUUCGGUUCAGGGAGGAAAGCGAUGCCGAGGGUAUCGCGCUCUUGGAUGGGCUCAUGUCCUAUCAGCUUGUUGGUGAGGUAACGGCUCACCAAGGCUUCGACGGGUAGCUGGUCUGAGAGGACGGAUCAGCCACACUGGCACUGCGACACGGGCCAGACUCCUACGGGAGGCAGCAGUAAGGAAUAUUGCGCAAUGGGCGAAAGCCUGACGCAGCGACGCCGCGUGGGGGAGU
rnacentral:rRNA from 1 species